CUCAAGGCAGGUGCUGCAGAUUUGCAACAGCUAAAUAUCUGAUUUUUCCUGUUACUAAAAAUUAAUUUGAGCCUGAGAGGGCUCAGACAUGAAUAUGA